rnacentral:rRNA from 1 species
GUGGGGAAUAUUGCACAAUGGGGGAAACCCUGAUGCAGCAACGCCGCGUGAAGGAAGACGGUUUUCGGAUUGUAAACUUCUAUCGAUAGGGACGAAACAAAUGACGGUACCUGGAGAAUAAGCCACGGCUAACUACGUGCCAGCAGCCGCGGUAAUACGUAGGUGGCAAGCGUUGUCCGGAUUUACUGGGUGUAAAGGGCGCGUAGGCGGGAGAGCAAGUCAGGAGUGAAAUCUAUGGGCUUAACCCAUAAAUUGCUUUUGAAACUGUUUUUCUUGAGUGAUGGAGAGGCAAGCGGAAUUCCUAGUGUAGCGGUGAAAUGCGUAGAUAUUAGGAGGAACACCAGUGGCGAAGGCGGCUUGCUGGACAUUAACUGACGCUGAUGCGCGAAAGCGUGGGGAGCAAACAGGAUUAGAAACCCCUGUAGUCC